rnacentral:rRNA from 1 species
GUGGGGAAUAUUGGGCAAUGGGCGCAAGCCUGACCCAGCAACGCCGCGUGAAGGAAGAAGGCUUUCGGGUUGUAAACUUCUUUUAAGAGGGACGAUAAUGACGGUACCUCUUGAAUAAGCCACGGCUAACUACGUGCCAGCAGCCGCGGUAAUACGUAGGUGGCAAGCGUUAUCCGGAUUUACUGGGUGUAAAGGGCGUGUAGGCGGGAUGGUAAGUCAGAUGUGAAAACUAUGGGCUCAACCCAUAGCCUGCAUUUGAAACUGUAUUUCUUGAGUGCUGGAGAGGCAAUCGGAAUUCCGUGUGUAGCGGUGAAAUGCGUAGAUAUACGGAGGAACACCAGUGGCGAAGGCGGAUUGCUGGACAGUAACUGACGCUGAGGCGCGAAAGCGUGGGGAGCAAACAGG